rnacentral:lncRNA from 1 species
GCCACCUGGGAAGAGCCCAGGAGAUCCCCAUGCUCAUCCUGUGCCUUGGACAGCUGGGGAAUGAGGGCUGCCAGGGCAGGAUGGACAGUGGGGUUUGGGAUUGCGAUGGGACUGGGGAUCAGAGUAGAGAUGGGAGUGGGGUUUGGGGUGAAGAUGGAAGUGGGGAUUGGGAUGGGGAUGAGAGUGGAUUUUGGGAUGGGAAUGGAAGAGGGAUUUGCUGUGGAGAUGGAGAAUAGGUUCGAUACAGGGAUAGGACUGGAAGUUCAGUUUGGGAUGGGGAUGGGAGUGUGGUUUGGGAUGAGGAUGGAGCCGGUCCUUCCCCUCCCACAUCCCUGUCCCUGCGCGCAGGGUGGUGACAGACGAGUGCUACCCGUUCACGAGCCAGCAGAGCCCGCCGGCGGCUCAGCCCUGCAUGAUGCACAGCCGCUCCACGGGCCGGGGCAAGCGACAGGCGACAGCGCGCUGCCCCAACCCCCAGACCCACUCCAACGAGAUCUACCAGUCCACCCCCGCCUACCGCCUCUCCUCCAGCGAGAAGGAGAUCAUGAAGGAGCUUCUGGAGAACGGCCCCGUGCAAGCCAUCCUGGAGGUGCACGAGGAUUUCUUCAUGUACAAGAGCGGGAUCUAUCGGCACACGCCCGUGGCCGAGGGGAAGGGGCCGAAGCACCAGAGGCACGGGACCCACUCGGUGAAAAUCACCGGGUGGGGAGAGGAGCAGCUGCCUGAUGGCCAGACCCAAAAAUACUGGACGGCGGCCAACUCGUGGGGCACGGCGUGGGGCGAGGGCGGCCACUUUCGCAUCGCCCGCGGCGUCAACGAGUGCGAGGUGGAGACUUUCGUGGUGGGGGUGUGGGGCCGUGUCAGCAUGGAGGACAUGCCCCACAAGUGAGCCCCCCGAUGUCCCUGUGUCCCCAGCGCGGCCCCGCCCAGCUCACAGCACGCUGGGCCAGGGGCUGGCACUGUCACCUGUGUCCCCCUAACCGGGGGCUGGCGCUGUCCCCGUGUCCCCAUGGCCAGGGCUGGCGCUGACCCCCGUGUGCCCAUGGACAGGGGGCCGCCGCUGUCCCCUGUGUCCCCAUGGCCGGGGGCCGGCGCUGUCCCCUGUGUCCCCUAGCCGGGGGCUGGCGCUGUCCCCUGUGUCCCCCAGCAGUGGGCUGGUGCUGUCCCCUGUGUCCCCUAGCCGGGGGCUGGCGCUGUCCCCUGUGUCCCCCUGCCGGGGGCUGCGUGUCCCCGCGGUGCUGACACAGCGGCCGGGGGCAGUGGGCC